GAACGCUGGCGGCGUGCCUAAUACAUGCAAGUCGAGCGAACGGACGAGAAGCUUGCUUCUCUGAUGUUAGCGGCGGACGGGUGAGUAACACGUGGAUAACCUACCUAUAAGACUGGGAUAACUUCGGGAAACCGGAGCUAAUACCGGAUAAUAUUUUGAACCGCCUGGUUCAAAAGUGAAAGACGGUCUUGCUGUCACUUAUAGAUGGAUCCGCGCUGCAUUAGCUAGUUGGUAAGGUAACGGCUUACCAAGGCAACGAUGCAUAGCCGACCUGAGAGGGUGAUCGGCCACACUGGAACUGAGACACGGUCCAGACUCCUACGGGAGGCAGCAGUAGGGAAUCUUCCGCAAUGGGCGAAAGCCUGACGGAGCAACGCCGCGUGAGUGAUGAAGGUCUUCGGAUCGUAAAACUCUGUUAUUAGGGAAGAACAUAUGUGUAAGUAACUGUGCACAUCUUGACGGUACCUAAUCAGAAAGCCACGGCUAACUACGUG
rnacentral:rRNA from 1 species